AUGAAAGGAGAGAUCAACAAGGCAGAUCUGAUCAAGAACCUGUCAGGCAUCUUUUGCAAGAACAAAAACUGGUCCUGGCAAGUCAGGCAGCUAUCAGAUAAAAAAUUCCUGGUCAGACCCCCCUGGAAGGAUGUAGAAGAGCUAAUUGAGUUUCCAGCCUUUGAUCUGCCUAUAGAUGGAGUUUCAGUGUCUGUGGAGAAAUGGACUGGUGACCCCUUCAGUGAGCUGACUGAAGCCUGGGUGAUCGUAGAAGGCCUGUCAUCCAAGUGGUGCACAUGGAAGGUUCUUUCACAGAUCGCUUCGUGCUUUGGGAUCCUGGUGGACGUGGACUGGAACGGUCUGAUGAAGAGCUUCUAUGAGAAAGUGAGGAUUAAGAUUGCUUGCAGAAACCCAGCGAAAAUACCCUUUGAACGGAUCAUGGAAAUGAGGAAAAAGUUGUACAUUCUGUCUUUCACAGUGGAAGGGUUCGAGCAAAUUGGUGCUGAUGAUCCCAAUGAUGACAAUGGUCCUACUGACAUAGUUGUGGACGAGGAUAACAAGGAUUUUGAAGAUGAGGAAACUGAGAAGGAUAUCCUUGAUGAUGGAGAACAACCUAUCGAUGAUUUAGACCUGGCCAACAGGGCUGAUAAAGUGAAAACUCCAGUUGGGAAACAAAAGAACAAUGAGGACAGUGUUUCCUUCCAUCCUGCUAUUCUGGUUGAGUCUUGCAUUUCUCCUGUGAGAAUGGACAAAGUAACAAAUGAGAAACCACAAGUGCAGGAUGUUUACUAUGCAAUACCUUUCUCUGAUGCUGUCAAGGUAUUGAGUGCUCCUAGCAUUGAGAUCCGUGACAUAUCUACUCCUCCUGCUGCAAUUGGGGGGGUAUUGUGUUACUCCCCCGAUGUCUAG
rnacentral:rRNA from 1 species